rnacentral:rRNA from 1 species
UACGAAGGGGGCUAGCGUUGUUCGGAUUGACUGGGCGUAAAGGGUGCGCAGGCUGGUCAAUCAGUCAGGGGUGAAAUGCCGGGGCUAAACCUCGGAACUGCCUUUGAUACUGUGGAUCUUGAGUCCGGAAGAGGUGAGUGGAACUGCGAGUGUAGAGGUGAAAUUCGUAGAUAUUCGCAAGAACACCGGUGGCGAAGGCGGCUCACUGGUCCGGAACUGACGCUGAGGCACGACAGCGUGGGGAGCAAACAGG